UGAUUGACGAAAUGGAAUAGGAUGG
rnacentral:misc_RNA from 1 species